AUGUUCUGGCGCCUAUUUUUGAGGAGCGCCAGAUGGGCAUCCUUGCUCCGCCCGAGUCCCCCCCCUCCCAGGCCUCCUACGGCUCGCCGGAAGACCAUUGCCGGCGUCAAGAUCUCCAACAAGGGGGGGCUCUCCCUGCAAAAAAUCAAGCGCACCCAUAUGGUGCUCCCAGCAGCCAAGGCGGCGGAAAAGCUAGUUUGCCGGUCCUUUGGGAUAGUCAGAGAUGAUGAAGACGUAACAGAGGCUACACUUGCUGAUUUCACUGCCAAGUUCAAAGAGCAACUUGCUCCUGAGCUGAUUAUGGCCAUGAGGAAUUUUUUUCACCUUGACGACAAGGCUGUCAACGAUGUCAAGGAUGCUCUGAUUGAUCACGGUGGUGAGGGAGCUUUGGAGAUGUCCCAGGAUGCUAGUGCGGCUCAGCCGAGCCUGGAAGCACAGUAG
rnacentral:rRNA from 1 species